UUCCGGUUGAUCCUGCCGGAGGUUACUGCUAUCGAGGUUCGACUAAGCCAUGCGAGUCGAAUGCCGCAAGGCAUGGCGUACUGCUCAGUAACACGUGGACAACCUACCCUUAGGACUGGGAUAACCCCGGGAAACUGGGAAUAAUCCCCGAUAGUCCUCGAAGGCUGGAAUGCAUCGAGGGCGAAAGCUCCGGCGCCUAAAGAUGGGUCUGCGGCCUAUCAGGUAGUAGUGGGUGUAGCGUACCUACUAGCCUACGACGGGUACGGGUUGUGAGAGCAAGAGCCCGGAGAUGGAUUCUGAGACACGAAUCCAGGCCCUACGGGGUGCAGCAGGCGCGAAAACUUUACAAUGCUGGCAACAGCGAUAAGGGAACCUCGAGUGCCAGGUUACAAAUCUGGCUGUCGAGAUGCCUAAAAAGCAUUUCAUAGCAAGGGCCGGGCAAGACCGGUGCCAGCCGCCGCGGUAACACCGGCGGCUCGAGUGGUAACCGUUAUUAUUGGGUCUAAAGGGUCUG
rnacentral:rRNA from 1 species